rnacentral:tRNA from 1 species
CCCUGUCUGGCUCAACGGUAGAGCACUCGGCUGUAGCCCGAGCGGUUCCUGGUUCAAAUCCGGGGGCAGGGA